UGCCAGACUCCUACGGGAGGCAGCAGUGAGGAAUAUUGGUCAAUGGUCGGGAGACUGAACCAGCCAAGCCGCGUGAGGGAGGAAGGUACAGAGUAUCGUAAACCUCUUUUGUCAGGGAACAAAGGCGGGGACGUGUCCCCGGAUGAGUGUACCUGAAGAAAAAGCAUCGGCUAACUCCGUGCCAGCAGCCGCGGUAAUACGGAGGAUGCGAGCGUUAUCCGGAUUUAUUGGGUUUAAAGGGUGCGUAGGCGGAGUGUUAAGUCAGCGGUAAAGGCCGGGGGCUCACCCCCGGCGAGCCGUUGAAACUGGCUGUCUUGAGAUGUCGAGAGGUAUGCGGAAUGCGCAGUGUAGCGGUGAAAUGCUUAGAUAUUGCGCAGAACUCCGAUUGCGAAGGCAGCAUGCCGGCUCCACACUGACGCUGAGGCACGAAAGCGUGGGUAUCGAACAGGAUUAGAUACCCUAGUA
rnacentral:rRNA from 1 species